rnacentral:lncRNA from 1 species
GGUGAUGUACUUGGCCGGACAAACUUUUUAUUCAAAAGUUCUUGCAGUUGAUCCUUUAAUUCUCGUAAUUCUACGGGAGCCAUCUGAUAAGGAGGUUUCAAAAUAGGUCCGGUUCCUGGGGUGAUAUCAAUUUUAAAUUCAACUUCAUGCUCUGGGGGCAAUCCGGGUAGUUCAUCUGGAAAAAUAUCAAAAAAUUCCUUGACAAUUGGGAUAUCAUC